CAGCAGCCGCGGUAAUACGUAGGUCCCGAGCGUUGUCCGGAUUUAUUGGGCGUAAAGCGAGCGCAGGCGGUUAGAUAAGUCUGAAGUUGAAGGCUGUGGCUUAACCAUAGUACGCUUUGGAAACUGUUUAACUUGAGUGCAGAAGGGGAGAGUGGAAUUCCAUGUGUAGCGGUGAAAUGCGUAGAUAUAUGGAGGAACACCGGUGGCGAAAGCGGCUCUCUGGUCUGUAACUGACGCUGAGGCUCGAAAGCGGGGGGAGCAAACAGGAUUAGAUACCCCGGUAGUCCCUGUCUCUUAUACA
rnacentral:rRNA from 1 species